UACAGAGGAUGCAAGCGUUAUCCGGAAUGAUUGGGCGUAAAGCGUCUGUAGGUGGCUUUUUAAGUCCGCCGUCAAAUCCCAGGGCUCAACUCUGGACAGGCGGUGGAAACUACCAAGCUGGAGUACGGUAGGGGCAGAGGGAAUUUCCGGUGGAGCGGUGAAAUGCGUAGAGAUCGGAAGGAACGCCCGUGGCGAAAGCGAGGUCCUGGACGUUUUCUGACGCUGAGACGCGAAAGCCAGGGAGCGAACGGG
rnacentral:rRNA from 1 species